GUUUCUAUAGUUAAGUAAAUUUAACGGUAGCUUUUCAAGUUACAGACCUCGGGUAGUACCGAGUAGGAACU
rnacentral:tRNA from 1 species